CCUACGGGGGGCAGCAGUGAGGAAUAUUGGUCAAUGGACGAGAGUCUGAACCAGCCAAGUAGCGUGAAGGAUGACUGCCCUAUGGGUUGUAAACUUCUUUUAUAUGGGAAUAAAAUGUUCCACGUGUGGGAUUUUGUAUGUACCAUAUGAAUAAGGAUAGGCUAACUCCGUGCCAGCAGCCGCGCUAAUACGGAGGAUCCGAGCGUUAUCCGGUUUUAUUGGGUUUAAAGGGAGCGUAGGUGGAUUGUUAAGUCAGUUGUGAAAGUUUGCGGCUCAACCGUAAAAUUGCAGUUGAAACUGGCAGUCUAGAGUACAGUAGAGGUGGGCGGAAUUCGUGGUGUAGCGGUGAAAUGCUUAGAUAUCACGAAGAACUCCGAUUGCGAAGGCAGCUCACUGGACUGCAACUGACACUGAGGCUCGAAAGUGUGGGUAUCAAACAGGAUUAGAUACCCGAGUAGUC
rnacentral:rRNA from 1 species